rnacentral:misc_RNA from 1 species
AACGGGGUACUGUAAGUGGUAGAGUAGCCUUGUUGCUACGAUCCACUGAGGUUAAGCCCUUGUUCUAAAGAUUUGUUCAACUUUGUUGGACUUUCUCUUUCUUUUCUUUUUACAUGCUGAAUGCUUGAGGGCCGGGAUCGUCUUCUCUGUGCACUCGCGACAGCAUGUUAACAUUGCCUUGAACCCUGUUAUAAGGCUUAGAAGGAACCUGGUUAGCAAACUGCUGACUUGGAACGUUCUUAGUCUUGUACUUGGUAUCGGUGCUUUGGCCGAGAUAACUUAUAAGGUAUAGGCAGAAAGCUUGAAAGCGCAAGUUAGUGAUUGUACUAAUGGACCGUUAAUGAGCUUGAGUGCCUGCCCUUAAGCAUGCCAUGUUGAAAUGCCCUUAGGAGCCAAGCGAACGAAGCUAAGGUUACCUUUUUAACUGCGCUAAGUGUUUACUUGGCUUUCAAAGGGUUAGGUUCAAAUUUUGAACGGCAACUGGCUUCGAAAUGAAGGGUUUGCUAAGUAAACCCUUCGUUAAGAGCGGCGUGCAACGAUUUUGGCAGCGGUAGGUCGAGUUUUCAUUGACUUGACCUGUUAUGCAGGUCGGUAACAAAACGCAAUAACAUGCAUACUUGUUAUCCACG